AUGACUUUGAUCUGCGUCCUCAUCUGGACUCUCCUCUGCUGCUGCUUCACAGAGUCCAGAGGACAGAUCACAGUGACUCAGCCUGGAGCAGUGAGCUCUGCUGUGGGAGGAUCUGUGAGCAUCAACUGUAGGACCAGUCAGAAUGCUUAUAGCAACAACCAUUUAGCCUGGUACCAACAGAAAGAUGGAGGAGUUCCUAAACUGCUCAUUUACCUUGCUAGCACUCGAGAAUCAGGGAUUCCAGGCUGAAGAUCCAGCAGUUUAUUAUAGUAAGAGUG